CUCGCUCACCUUAGCACAUCACUCGUCCUCAACAAACUGGACACCUUUCAUUUUCCUCGUAAUCUGAGAGCACGGAAUGUAUUGAGACUCAGACGCCGGGAUCACAGAAGACAAUAAGUGGUAGAUUGUAAUAUCUGAAGAGAUCACUGUGGGUUCUACAUGACUCACAAUGGAGAGAUGCAAAAUCUGUUCAGGUUUGGUUACCAGAAAACUUCUUUUAUUUGAAUGCAUCAAGAAUAUUUUCAAAAAGGACAAAACAAAUGAAACGCUUGAAACUGGAG